GACGUAGGGUGCGAGCGUUGUCCGGAUUUAUUGGGCGUAAAGAGCUCGUAGGCGGUUUGUCGCGUCUGCUGUGAAAACCCGAGGCUCAACCUCGGGCCUGCAGUGGGUACGGGCAGACUAGAGUGCGGUAGGGGAGAUUGGAAUUCCUGGUGUAGCGGUGGAAUGCGCAGAUAUCAGGAGGAACACCAAUGGCGAAGGCAGAUCUCUGGGCCGUAACUGACGCUGAGGAGCGAAAGCAUGGGGGAGCGAACAGG
rnacentral:rRNA from 1 species